rnacentral:rRNA from 1 species
GGCUGGACUACACACAGGUGUUGCAUGGCUGUCGUCAGCUCGUGUCGUGAGAUGUUGGGUUAAGUCCCGCAACGAGCGCAACCCUUAUUCUUAUUUGCCAGCGGGUAAUGCCGGGAACUAUAGGAAAACUGCCGGUGCUAAGCCGGAGGAAGGUGGGGAUGAGGUCAAGUCAUCAUGGCCCUUAUGAGUUGGGCUACACGCGUGCUACAAUGGUACCUACAGAGUGAUGCAAUACGGUGACGUGGAGCUAAUCAUUA